GAGGAGAGAAGAGAAGAGAAGAGGAGCUGGCCUCAAGCUUGAGGCCACCAAGGUGUGCACCUGCCUGGGCUGAGCUCUGAGCUGGCCAUGCAACAUUUUCACACAGGAAAACACAAAACUCUAAUCCUCAAGGAGCCAAAAAUGUGCUGGACUCAAGAGAGGGGAUGUAAAACCCAAAGGAGACCCCAGUGCAGCCACUCAGCCCAGCACUGGUGCUUUAUGGAGAGGACUGGGCACCAGAAUCUGUGUGGAAUUCUUCCUGUAGCAGUCCCAGGUGGAGGGACAGCAGCAGAACAUGCUGAUCCACCAUGCAGAGCACUCUGCUCUUGGCAUGGGUUCAUCCUAUUAAUCCCAUAAAUAAGUGUAUUAAUAUGUGGAUGGAACACAUUGCCAAGUACAAAAUAAUCCUUGGCAAGAGACAUACAUGUGUGUGUGAGAUACAUGAUAUACAAACACCAUCCUACCCAGAUCAGGUUUCCAGGGUUAAAAAUACACGAUGAAUUAAAAUUUCAUAUGAAAUUCUAGCUUUGGUGAGUACUGGAAAACAUUACUUUCCCCCUUCAACCCCAUAAAGGCUUUUAUUGGGGGAGAUGAGUACAUGUUUCACAGUACAUUUUCCACAAUGGAAGGGAGUGUUUUAAUCACAAGUGUUACUGGGAAGAAAUGAAAUUACUUUACCAGAUUGCUUUAAGGUACUAAAAAAACCCUGCAGUGGUCCUUAAUGCCAUGGAGGCAAGGUGGGACAGCACAUGGACUCAACUGAAAUGUAAUGACAGUAAAAAAUGUCAUCUUUAUUUACAUUAACCAAAUGUGAGUUUGAGGUGAUGUUUUACCUCCAGUUUAUCUGAUUUUCUCUGUUUAUUUUAUUGUCUGUCCUUGGGGCGUGGAUAAAGCUUUACAAGACUAUGUGAAGCCAGCAAAGACAUAACUUCAGGCUUUUUAAGAUCUACAGAUGGGCUUCUUUGGAGUGCUGGCAGUGUGUGCAGACAGGAUCAGGUAUCUGCCCUGAGGGAUCUGGGUCUCUGGUGACAGGGAAAAUCCCAAUCUUUCCUUGUAAUGGCAUCUACUGACCAAAUGGGGAAAAAAACCACAAAAAACAGAGGGAUGGAUAAAAAAGAGGACACUGGGAGUGCCUCCAUAUUUCAUGCCAGCUCAGACUUGGCCACAUCUUGGUGAUUUUCUUGCUGCAAAGUCCUUUUAAGAACUCUCUGUUGUUUGGCCACAGGAGGAGCUCCCAAGGAGGGAUCCCAUCAUUCCUCCUAUGAGAGGCCAAAACCCACCGAGGUCUGCUGGGGAGGCUCUGAGCUGCACUUCCCACUCUUGAAUUUCAGUGCAAAAGGGAACUCUUGGUGCUCAGGAGCUGACUGGUGUGUGCCUCUGGCUGUGUGAGAGCCACACUCACUGCAGGGACCUCCAAAUCCUGAGAUAUUCCAGCCUGCACCCUGCAAACAGCCUGGAUUAGCAGGGAAUAACAUCCCUCCUCUGCCUUUUUAGGACUCCCUCAGGAAUAACCUGAUAUGGUAUCAAAACAAAACCCCUCUGUUGCUCCUUUUGGCAUUCAGCCCUACCAGGACAACGUGGGACUAAUUGAUCAAAUGAGAUUGAUGAGGCCACCAGGCAAAGCUUGGGUGCAAACCAGUUCCAGAUUUAACACCAGCUCUGCCUUUAUAUUCCCACUGAAAUCACAAUUUUAUUGCAUAGGUAACUCAGGAAAGAACCAACCACUUUGGAGCCAGGCUCUUGGUGCAGUUUUUAUUUGUGACAUUUUUCCGUUGUGUCUGAACAUAGUUUUAAUUUUGUGUCAAAAUAAAUCUGAGACUGAUAAUUUUUAUGAUUGUUUUACUGAGAAAAGGCAGUAAACUACUUGCUUUGGCUGCACUUACUACCCUGCAAAAAUUAUUUGUCCAAGCACAGCAGCAAAGUGGAUGAGGGGAGGAAUAAUAAAAAAGAAAAAAAAGCACCUGCCCACAAAAUCCUUUAAUCCUUUGCAAAAAUUGGAUUAAGAUUUGUCAUGUUCCCUGUUUCAAAGGAAAGGUGGCAGCUCAGAGAGCAAUGUGAAAAAGCUGCAAAGUUUGGGUAAAAUCCCUCUCCCAUGGUUUGUAGUGCCAGCCACAAAGCAGGUAGCAGAGAGGAGGGGUCAGGUCCCAAAGCUGCUCUGCCUUUACCUCAAAGGUAUGUAAAUCCCAAAGAACCAGUUGCUUCCUUAACUCCAUGAAAAUAAAGCGCUUGGGAAAAUCUGGGUGAGCAGCAGCACCCGUGGGGAGGAUGGGAGGAAGAGGAGGGGGAAGAAAAAGCUGUUUUUCUGCAGUUUCUGCCACCAACUACUCUUUUUAGGGUUAAGAGAAGAGCAGCAUCUUUCCCAGCUCUGAAUGGAGGGGGGCUUUGCUGAGCCCUGGGACGUGCACAGGUAGGUUCCACAUGAGAAAAAUAGAGAGUUCACGGUAGGUUCCACAGGAGAAAAAUAGAAAUAAGAGUGAUCUAGGAGAGAAAUGUAAGAAAAUGUGUAGUCUGAGAGCUCCCUGUAGCUCCAGUCAGGCUGCAUCAACACCUUGGGCUGACUUGUUCCUCCAGAAGUCGUCACUUCGGUGCAGCUGGGCAGGCUGGAAAACAUCCUGGUAUAAAAUGAUAUUUGCAGAGUAACCAGAGAAAGAAGAGGUCACACCAUUUGUGAAAGUAAUCUGAGCAGGGAAGCACAGGCAUGGCUGGCAGCUCAGCUCAUCAGGACCUAACAUUAAUUAACCAGAAGUGGAGGAAAGGAGAUAAGCCCUGGCACAGGUGUUGGUAGGAUGGGGGUUUCUUGCUUCACUCUGGAAUCCAGCCAUCCCCAAAACACAACCUAUCUCUCCUUGCUUCAGGCAAUUACCCCCCAGUCUCAGCUCCAAUAAACUUCAGCUGGUGCUGUACACUGUUAUUUAUUUGUGCCUCCUGGUGCUGCUGAGAGACCCUACAGGAACGUGAGCGAGCAGCAAGACAUUUCCACCUCUGGUGGAGGCAGGGGAAGUGACAUCACCCUGGGGGAACCCGUGGACCAAGAAGAUGAGGGAAAUGGGAUUUUCAGAACCACUGUGAGCUGAACAAGGUCUGAUCUCAGCGAGGUUAAUUGGAGGAACAUGAUUACUGGGGCAAUCCCAGCCAGGGCUGUGCAGCAUCAGGCAGCGCUCCCUGAUCGGAUGCGAUGGGAAGCGCUGUCUCCUGGAUCACAGCCCUCCAGAGGAAUCUGGCCUUGAUUCAGCUGGAAAAGCAAGUUCUCGAGAGUGGAGAACAUUGCUGGUGACCUUCACAGGCUACACAGGACGUCAGAGGCAGACCUGUGAGCAGCACUGCAGCUCUCCUCACACUCCGGGAAAUGUCUCAGAGGACAAAACCUGCAAGUGGAAAAGCUGAAAAAUGCCUGAGAGCAACAGACCACUGGACAGGAAAGUGGGUGAUCCCUGGGGUAAGAAGAACUGGUAUUUUUCACAAUAAAAUUCCAGAAUGACUCCAGAUUCCCCUGAUGGACGCAAGGUUUGUUCUGUUACUUCAAUAUAAGUCAGCUGUUAGGUUGCUUCUUUUCUUUCUGUGUUCCCAUGACUACUGAAUUAAGUUUUCCCACUAACUCCUCUCUUGAAAAGCAGGAAUCUAGAGAAGUUUGAAUUGUCUUUGAGGGGGGAAAAAAUAAAAGCUUAGUGGAUCUGGCUUCUCCUCUGAUCAGACACCAUAGACAUGCUGUUGGUUUCCAUACCAGGAGGUGAUUAGAACCAGAGGUGAGACCCAUGGGUUAACUAGAAAACAUCAUUACGCUCAUCCCACGUGACCUUUCCUCACCAAAAGGGUGAAUAGGAAACCAAGCUGUGCGGGAUGGAGCAGCCCCAGAUUGCUGGCAGAUGUCAGGAUGAAGAGGAGAAGAAGUUCAUUUACGUCUGUGAAGGAAAGGUCACCGAGGAGCACAGCUGAUGGCAGCGUGGAUGUGCCACUGAACAUGACAGCAGCCUGCUGCCAGGGACAUUUUCUGUGCAGGCAGCACAUUCCACAACUCCAGCUCCAGUUGGAGUGAGGUUAGGUGCAAAUCCAGGCUCAACCUCAGACACCCACUGCUGUCCAAGCUGUUUUUAAAGUCAUUUUCACCCUGAUAUUUCCAAAGAGCAGCUCCUCGAGGUGGGUGAAUUCCAAAGAGGCUGAUUGUACAAAUGAGUGGUGGUGGAUGGUUGGACUGGGAAAACCUGCAGCUGGAGGAGUGGUGGGGCUGGAUAUUUUGCAGUGUUUGGGCUGUUUGUGAGCAUGGCCUGACUCAGCUGUCUGCGUUUUCUCCCACACAAGGAUGGAUAUUUCAUGCAAACCUUGCCCUCCUUUCUUGUUUCCUGUGUAUGAGUGACCCAAAGGCAGAGGAGGAGAUAAUGCAGAAAAUCAUGAUGCAUGAGGGGUACAUAUAAACCAGGAGCAUUUUAAAAGGAAACUUUUCAGUAUCUGAAUUAUUUAGCAGCAGAAGAGUUGGAGAAGAGGAGGGAGUUUCUGGCUGAUGGUAAAAACAGGCAGCUGCCCUGUGGAGAUGUAGUUGCCACUGACACAUAGUGAGGAAGAGGAAGACAAAGACUUUCUGCCUGACAGGUUUUGGUGGGAACCACUCCAGGGAUGGGAGAUGUCCUGGAGAAGGGUGAAUAUCUGCUCUUCCCUGAAAAUCAGCUCAGCUUUUUGGGGUCUGACUACUCACAAGCACAGCCUGAGCCCGAGCCAGUCAAAGCUCAACACCUCUGAAAAGUCAGCCUGAGCUCCUCUGGGAGCCAGGAGCUGAAGAGGCCACAUGAGAGCUACCAGAGCCCUCCUCUGGAGGGGAUGCCAAGCUGGUGUCUGGCUCACACAUGGUCUGGACCAUCCUGAUGCAGGCUUGCAAAUCCUCACCAUCCACACUGAAUUUCAGCUGGGGGUUCGUGCAGUAACAACUUCUCUUCUGGCUCAGAGAAUUCUCCCCAUCAGUGACUCUCUCUCAGUACUUUUCCCCUUCCUGGUGUCUGUGCCUCUUUGAAGGCUGCCAUGGAUUGGGAAUUCAUCUUCAGAUGAACUGCUGCUUGCCCAGAGUCUGUCACUGCUCUGUGGUCACCAGCAGAAAAAAUGCCUAAAAACAUUCAUCAUCAUUAUGUUAAUUAUGACUGUGAUUGCUGCUCAUUCCCAGGAAAAAAAUGGAGUUUUCUCACACAGGAGUCCCUGAUAAACCAGCAGCAAAUCUUUUUUAUUUUAACUAUUUCUAACAGGAAAAGCACUCGCUUCUGUCUCCUUUAGGGCCACAUCUGUGGGUACCAGCACCGGGCUCUGUGUAACCCAAGUGAAAACAGCAAAAGGUAAAUGGGAAAGAGAUGUCAAGAGUGCUUUUAAUCAUCUCAGGCCUCCUUUGACACAUGUUUUUAAUUGCUUAGAGGGGAAAAAAAUAAGGGGAAAAAAAAAGAAAUAAACCCACUUAUGAAUAAUCUAAUAAGCUUCCCAACCACCUGUGAAACGUGGCUCCCCAGCUGCAGAGAAUCAAACACAGGAAUAGAAAACAGAGCAUUCUCCGAGGCAACACACAUCCACAUUAGAUGCACGUCAUUCCAAAGCCACAGAAGAAAAAUGCAUUAAUGCCAUUUUUGGGCUCAUGGCAUUCAUGCCACUCCAUGAAAAAUUAUCUCAGAGGAGUGUUGAUUUAAGGAGCACCAAGAACCUGCUUUAAAGUCAAAAGGUAGAGGGGGAAGAUGGAAGAGGGAGACCUGCUCCUUGGCAUCCUUUCAAACAAAAAGAACAACAUCAUCAGGAAAAUCCCACAUAGCAUUUAUUUGAGGAAUUGCAGUCCAGCAGGCAAAAUUACUCAGGAAUAAUUAAACAUGUUUCCCUGAUAUAAAGAUAUCCAGGAGUGAGUAUUCAAGCAAAGUUAAAAUGCAGAGCUGUAUAGGCAUGGCUUUAUUCCAGAAGCAAUUUGUUUCCCUGGUAUGAAAAGAGUGUUAUUUUCACUGUAUUUUGGAGCCACCCAGCAAAUGUCCUCAAGAAGCUGUUUUUUCAUGGGAGAGAGCUGCUACACGGAGGGGGAAAAGGUAACAUCCUGACAUGGAGGAGGGAAAAAAGGGAGCUGUACUUUCAAGGCUGUUUUGACAUGUUUUUCUUCUACCCUGAACCAGACUUCAAAUACAGCUCCUUAACCACGACAGCUCAAUGACCCACCCAGAGAACUCUUUUUCCACAAACAAUAUAGCGUCAGGAGAAGGAGCCUGAGAGGAAAAGCAAACACUCCUUAAAGCAACUGCUUUAUUUGGAUAGUUCUGAACCACUGGCAUUGGGGGCAGGUUUUAAGUUGGUGGGCGUGAGGAGAGGAAAGCUCAUGGUUUUGAUUUGAAGUAGCCACAUCAAAACCUGUUUUAGAGAAGGGAAUGGCAGUAUUUUGAAAAAUACAUCCUUCUUAAGGGGAUGUUAGGGAAAACAAUUCCGUGGCCUGUUGAAUGAUAAAAGCCAACACGCUGGCUGAGGAAAAAAAAAAUUGCCUUUAAGUGCCUUGCAUAAAUGCAUGAUAUACCUUGCCUGGCUGCAGCAGUGCCUGUAGGUGAAGGAAAUUGUCAUUCACACGUGUUGCUUGCGGGCACAGAAGGGUCAGCCAGCAGAACUGGUAUCAAAAUGUUGCCCUUUCUUCCCCACCAAUCUGUAGUUGUGCACAGAGUGUUAACAAGAAUUUAAAACCUGCCUGUCCCACCCUAAAGGGACACAUGGAUACACCCACCCAUCCUAGCUGGGUACCUCCUGGAGCCAGGAGUCUCCAAGCCACUGCUGGUGCAGCACUGAUGGGUGGCACCAAACCUGCACGCUGGCAGCUGUGGGAUGGUGUUGGACAGCAACACUGGGAAAUUAGGACAUCCCUUGCAGACUUGCCCAGGCUUUAUCUUUGCCUUUCACAUGCACUCCUGGCAGCUGUGUUAUAAACCUACUCUGUGCUUUUAUUUGGUGACACUAUUUCACAUCUCAUGAUACCACAAUGCCUCUCCCCCGGAUGGCUGCUCACACAUCCAAAGAACUCUUCCUACUUUUUGUGAACCACGUUUUACAUUUCCACAGGUGAGGAAAAGCAAGGCAGCUCUUCUGCAUUUCCAGAGGCUUCAUGGCAGAUGGGGAGGAGCACAGACAGCAGCAGAUGGGUGACAUCCCCGCCCAAGUCCAAGGGUGGGGUGGGCUGGCCAUGGCAUGGCUGGACUAACAAAGGAUUUGUGUGUCAACCCAUUUCCUGAUGGGCCAAGAAGUUUCUGGUUGAGGCAGCCAGAGAUCUGCAGUGCACUUCCACAAAGGACUUUGAGGUCUGGAAAUGUGUUUUCACUCCGGUGUGGAAAAAGAACCAAACUUUACAAACACUUCCCCAAAAUGUUUUUUGUUGUUGCUGUUGCCAUUGAAACAUCUGGUUUCAGACUGAGAAGAUCGGGGUUCUCAUUUAGAUUCUUCUCUGCUUAUAAAUUGACCUCAGAAAAGCUGAACACUUUCCCAUGGAAAUGUUAUUAAUGGGACUAUUUCACUGCAAGAUGUUCUGGUUUGGAUGAAACAGCAUUUUCCGACAACAAUGACAACAAAUCUCAUUAAAAUGUUUGAGUAGCUCCAGUCUCCAAAAGCACCAAGUGGCUUAUUGAGCAUCUUCAGAUCCUGCAGCCUGAAACAUGCAACAACAAUGUAAGAGCAUUGUCACCCAUCAGAUAGGCAAUAAUUUGGAAUUCACUUUGCAUAUCUGUAAUGGACCCACAUCAAUGGAGCUUUGUUUGCGAGAAAUCUCUUAUAAAAAUGGAAAAAGGAAAAUGCCAUGAAAUACCUCCAGCCUCUCAAUGCCAUUCAGCAAGGAUGCAUUUUGGUCAUUAAUCAUCCACAUUUAGGCAAGCAGUUAGAAAAGCCCAGCUGUUCCAGGCCACAAUGCUCUCCUUCAUUGCAUUAACGCCUCCCUACUAACAAGACAACUUCAACACACGAUCCCCAAGAAGGGCCAGAAUGCCUUAUUCCCAACGUGGUCAUUGUGGCAUUGUUUUAGAUUGAAAAGUUCAUGGAGUUAAUGCCUUUUUAAAAGAUCCCAGUUGAGCCUAAUUAUCUUGUGAAGAGUUCUGUGCAGGCAAUAUCUGAUUUCAAACCAGUGUUUAUCCGACUGCUCCCAGGACAGCGCGGGGUCUCUGGGGACUCUGGACCUCAGCCUGUGUUUUCCCCUAAAAACCCUCACAGAAAGCACAGCCUGGGAGCAAUUUUGGACACCACCCCUGCAGAGGUGCAGGUUUGGGAUGGGGCUGGGUAUGAAAAAAGCUCUGAGUCCCCAACAGGUGGGAGCUGCCUGAUGCAUUUAACCUGUUCUUAGAGUUUCACAUCCUGCUGCUGCACUGACCAAGUGACACCUCAGUCCUCCCCCUUCCAGAGAUGUUGCAGCAUUUCCUCUGCUCCUGUCUAAUUCAGGAGAUUUUUUUCUCCCAUGAAUCAGACAUCCUGCUCCCAGCCUUCCUUUCCCUGGUACUCACACCCACUCCUCCAGCAAGGUGGCCUCCUUGCUUCCCAGCGCUUGCCCUCCUACUCACCGGUGUCCAACCAUUCCUCGAACUCCCAAGCCUGGGCUUUCCCAGGGGAUUCAGUGCUGGGAGGGAUUCUGGCACUGCUGAGCCACGCCAGGCUGCUGAGCACUUCCAGGUAAAGCUCAAGGUAUAUUUCCCUGCAUCCAGAUAUUGCACAUCUUCCUGCACAGGAACUUCAUUCCUCAUUUUCACCCCAGGACUGGGACUGCUCACAGCCACCCCCUCUUUUGGCAGUACCUCUCCCCUUCCGUGCCUUCCAGGGACAAAUCCACCACUGUUCAAACCCACAGCUUUGGAGUGGGUUUAAAAUUUCCCAGGGCACAUUCCUACACCCUCUAGUUUCCAAACUCUCAGGAAUUUGCCACACAAACGUAUUCCUUCUCUUUAUUUGUUUCUUCCAAGUAAUUAGAGGGGGGAAGGAUUGUUUGCUACCUGUCAUACCUUGGUUUAAACCAUUUGGGAACAAAGUGAGAAAACAAAAAAAAAGAAAAAAGGAGAGACUCGCAGUGGAUUAAGACUGCUGAUUGUAGUAACAAGAGAAGGUAUUUUAAUGACAGGUUUAAGACUUGCUAAGUAACUGCCAUGAGGAUUAUGAAUACAUUUUGUAACAGGGUAAGAUUAAGAGAUAAUCCUUGAAAAAAGAAUUAAUACGGCCAAUGGAUUUUUAGAUGAAAAAUAAACUACAAAAAAGACCAAA